GCGGACCAUGCUGGCACCUUACCUUGGACUUUCCAGCUUCCAGAACUGGGUUCAACAGGAUGGUCUUGGGAUCCUAGGCAUCAUGGAGGGCUGAAGAAACAUCAAGGGGAGCCCCAGAAAUUCACCACGGGAUCCCAGCCUCAGGCCCGCCUAGACAGUGUGCGGGGCUUCUCACCAGUAUGGAUUCUCUGAUGUAGAGUAAGCUGAGAGCCAUGACUAAAGGCCUUGCCACACUCCUUGCAUUCAUAGGGUUUUUCUCCAGUGUGAAUUCGCUGAUGUUGAGUCAACUGUGAACCACGAAUAAAGGCUUUCCCACAUU
rnacentral:lncRNA from 10 species